UACGGAGGGGGCUAGCGUUGUUCGGAAUUACUGGGCGUAAAGCGCGCGUAGGCGGAUUGGAAAGUCAGAGGUGAAAUUCCAGGGCUCAACCUUGGAACUGCCUUUGAAACUACCCGUCUGGAGUUCGAGAGAGGUGAGUGGAAUUCCGAGUGUAGAGGUGAAAUUCGUAGAUAUUCGGAAGAACACCAGUGGCGAAGGCGGCUCACUGGCUCGGUACUGACGCUGAGGUGCGAAAGCGUGGGGAGCAAACAGG
rnacentral:rRNA from 1 species